AUUGAACGCUGGCGGUAGGCCUAACACAUGCAAGUCGAACGGCAGCACAGUAAAAGCUUGCUCUUACGGGUGGCGAGUGGCGGACGGGUGAGGAAUACAUCGGAAUCUACUUUUUCGUGGGGGAUAACGUAGGGAAACUUACGCUAACACCGCAUACGACCUACGGGUGAAAGCAGGGGAUCUUCGGACCUUGCGCGAUUGAAUUAGCCGAUGUCGGAUUAGCUAGUUGGCGGGGUAAAGGCCCACCAAGGCGACGAUCCGUAGCUGGUCUGAGAGGAUGAUCAGCCACACUGGAACUGAGACACGGUCCAGACUCCUACGGGAGGCAGCAGUGGGGAAUAUUGGACAAUGGGGGCAAGCCUGAUCCAGCCAUACCGCGUGGGUGAAGAAGGCCUUCGGGUUGUAAAGCCCUUUUGUUGGGAAAGAAAAGCAGCAGGUUAAUACCCCGCUGUUCUGACGGUACCCAAAGAAUAAGCACCGGCUAACUUCGUG
rnacentral:rRNA from 1 species